rnacentral:rRNA from 1 species
GGGUGAGUAACACGUGGAUAACCUACCUAUAAGACUGGGAUAACUUCGGGAAACCGGAGCUAAUACCGGAUAAUAUAUUGAACCGCAUGGUUCAAUAGUGAAAGACGGUUUUGCUGUCACUUAUAGAUGGAUCCGCGCCGCAUUAGCUAGUUGGUAAGGUAACGGCUUACCGAGGCAACGAUGCGUAGCCGACCUGAGAGGGUGAUCGGCCACACUGGAACUGAGACACGGUCCAG